ACAAACGCGAUUCUUCGUGAUUGUCAUUCAAGAGCUCAAUGAGAUUAUUGCAAGAAAAGUUCGGCGAAUACCGCCCUGCACACAUUGGUAAAGUGGUCAGGGGAAGCCUUCACGAAUGAAGAUUAUGCAGUAGGGGCCUUAUACUAGGACCUUAACACCUAAUCUGUAUUUAGAACAAGAGAUUAGCCAUAUAAAAUUCGUCCCUUGUUAAUCUGUAAUUAUUAAAUAAUCUCAUUUAACUGAUAACUUUUCGGUGUCCAUCCUAGUUUUAUCGAUUGUUUUUGCGAAAAAAAGGAGAAAUGCCAAAUGCAAAAGUAAACAAAAAUGGACGCUAGCAGGGAAAAGUGGUUUGUAAAGAUAUUUUUAAUAAAAUGUUAAGUUCAAAUAUAUGUAUAUUGCUUAUUAUAGCAGAAAAACGUGAUCACGCCACACAGAGAAGAAACGUAACUUUUCCUUGAGAUUUGAGAAUAACAACCACGACAAAUUUGAAGCUAAUAAUCUGAGAUUUGCCUAUGUAAAUGGGGUGAUUAAAAAACGAGCUUUGAUUGAGAUAAUAUUGAUAGGUGAACAUACUUUUAGUAAAGUUCCAAAGG